UGUGUGUGUGUGUGUGUGUGUGUGUGUGUGUGUGUGCCUUUCUCUCUCUGUCUCUCUCUCUCUCACACACACACAGUCCUGGGAAAGAGGCAAUGGCAAACCACUUCUGAAAAUCUUGCCAAGAGAACUUCAGAGACUGGUCCAGGUAGUUGCCAGGAGUCCACCUUGACUCAAGUACACACGUGUAUUGAAUUUAUUGAGAAUUACAUCAGAAUAAACACUCAGGUACCAUUUCAGGAACUCAUGAGAACAUGCCAAGUACAAACUGUAAUAAAACAUAAAAGCAGAGAAGCCAGACACCACUUGCAUAAUCGUUUUAUGACAGCAUCCAAGUCUUAUCACUGGAAUCAAUGAAAUGGGAAACCUCCCCCAUCACUGUUACAUGUUGGAAACAUCUUCCUUUAUAAAGUGACUAAUCAUACACCAAAAGCAGUGACUAUGGAGAAAAUGUUAUUUUGCUUAUGUAACAAAAGUUAUGUAAGAGCUGUAAAAGAGGUUCAUUUGGUCAUUUGUGAGAGCAAGAAAAGUACUGAGGCAUAGGAGAUAGCUUUCUAUAGUUUUUGCAGUGUAGUGAAAUUUUCCAUUUCAGAGGCUUGAAAUUAAACGUAAGGACAUUAUGUUCUUCAAAACUGCUGGUUUAGAUAUAGCAGAGAGAAGCAGUAGUUUGCAACAGCAAAUCUUUGUUCACAUUUUUUUUUUCAUUUACUAAUUGAAAUGGAGUGUCUUACAUGUGUGAAGUAUGUUCAUCACAGCUGAAACACCAAUGGUUUAUUUAAUCACCUCAGUAUCAUAUCACCUCAGAAACAAGUUUUUUUAAAAAGAAAUUGUGGCAGAUUUAAACAUUUCAUUAAAUUUUCAGUAAUCAGGUAAAUGUUAUCACUUUGCAUUGGCACGUAAUUAAAUGAAUAUAUUAUGAUGAUAAUUUUUUCUAGAAAAUAUCUCACUAUCAGUGUUAUUUUAUGAUAAAGCAAGCUCAUUUUUUAUUGCAGGCUAUUAAUAUAGAUUUUGACCCAAUUUAAAUGUAGCCAAUUAACCAGCAUAUGAUACCCAGUUCUGGACUGUCCCUGGAUUUUGCAACCCAUGGCUUCAUGUGAAUUGUAAACAUCGCAUAUAAAAAGUUUGUCUUGACACAUACAAGAUAAUACAAAUGUUGUGAAGUAUAUUUCUCAUGGGGAUAUACACAAGAGUAUACUCCCCAUCUUGAGUAUAAAUUACCAGAAGGCAAGACCAGAAACAAUGGAUGAAAACUAAUCAAGGAGAGACACAACCUAGAACCAAGAGUUUUGGCCACAAUGAACUCUGCAUGCAUUCCAGACCAGUUUUAUGGAGCACAAAGGACAAGGCUCAUGCCUCUUCCUAUAACAGAUCCUUCCAGUACCUUGUCUUCCCUGCUUCUCUAAUCUCCUCAGCUGCUAUAAUGUCCUUGACAUUUUCCCACUCAUCUUUCUCAUUCCCCAUCUCUCAAUUUUUGCACAGCACAUUUGCAUUUCAGAAACACUCUUGAACAAAAACAUUCAGUUUCUUCCUAUAUAUGGACCAAACAUAUGUUUCAUAUACAUGAACAUGAAUCAUCCCAAGAAAUCAGUUCCAUGCACAGAAUAGUUUAUAAAUGGGUUUGUUCCUUCCUAAUCCCUCAGCCUCUCUCAUUAUUGGUCAUGCUAGUGUAGAAGAUGACCAGGCUGAGCUCAAGGGAGGGAUCAAAUGCAUCAUAAGUCCCUUCGCUCCCGCAAGAGAUCUAAGUCCAGCCCAUCUUAAAUUCAUUUCCAUUCAACUCCUGCACAUUUCCCUUAACAGUCACUUGGAAAGAACUUAAGCCUGCAAUGAAUAUUUAUUUACUCAUUUGAGCUGCCUGAAUAUCUUGAUUUUCUGGGCAGCUGACAACUGACUGAGGUUGCUGGGAACUGAUAUUCAGCAGCAUCUGAAACAUCAAAAGUAUUUAAAGGGAGAAUGGGACAACUUGCCCCAGCCAACUCACCAUGGGAAAACUCACUGCGGAACAAUUUAACAAUUCUAUUUAAUUAUUUAAAAUAAAUAAAAAAAUAUUUUAAUUUUUAAUUGAUCAUAUUUCAUUCUGUCCCUCCUUUUGCAUCCUUUCUUUAAUGUUUCUAUUCCUCCAUUUCUUUAUUAGUGUAACUUUUGUCCAGGAUCAAGUUAUCCUAUGGCGAGUUAGCCAUAGCAAGUUGUCCCAAGCAAAUUGGCCAUGGUGAGUUGGCCCCAGUGAAUUGUCAUAGAGUGUCAAACUCGAUUGUGUCACAUGAUGUAUCUCAAUGUUUUUUGCCUUUGUGGAGCCAGGGUGGGUGUGGCCUACAUGAGACACAUCUGGCCUGCGGGCCACCAGUUUGACACUCCUGACUUAAAGGGUAGCAAAGUAUGAGAACUACAUAACUAAACAAACCAAGAUGGUGGAAUGUGCUAGAUUCAAUCCCCUCUUAUUGGCUAGUUCAUUCCAUUAAAGCAAAAAUAUAGCCAGCUAUGGCUAGGUCAAAGUCUAUCUGAAUAAAAAUUUGUUAGCCAAAUCUAGCUAGGUUCUGCCUCAGCACACUGGACUUCAAUUAGCACCCAAGACAGGAAGACCAUUUAAUUUACAAUUUAUUUGAAAUGCUUCAGUUAAAAAGGAUUCUUUAUGUGUGAGAGAGAACCUGGAACAAAGAAUUACAUUUACUUUUAUAGUUUGCACAACAAAGAAACUUCAAAGUAAAAGUUGAUUGGAUUAGGAAAAAUCAUAUGUCCAGUUACAUCAUGAACAAUUAGACACCCAAUAAUAUCUAAGCAUAAGGAUUGAAAAGAGCAUUGUAAUCUGAAUAAAAAUAAAAGAAACAUUUAUAAAGGAAAAACAUCAAAAUGUGCAUUGAUAAAGAUACAUUAACAGCACUUUCCCACUCUUGGGUUCGAAUACUUGCUUUGUUCAUUGAGGCUUGGGAACAACUGAAAACAAAAGUGUUUAUUUUCAAUGUAUCAAACAGUCUGCCAGUCCUAGUUUCUAAAGUAUAAACUAUCUACAUUUUUGCUUGAUUAGACAUGGCCAAUUAACAAUACAUUUAAAAGAGAGAAAGAGAACUAAGGCAAAUUAAAAUACAAGAAAAAUCCAUGUUAAUUAGCCAGUGCAAGAGUACUACAAAACCCAUAUUGCAAGUAUUACAAAGUCCACACUGCAUGGCCCUCACAUUCCAGGCUAAUUUUCCUAUAAUUAUGCCAGAGGGAUCUUGCAGAAUCAAGGUGGAAUAUAUCUGAUUAGGUUAUUUAAGUUAUACUGAUUGGUCGGGUUGAAUUUGCCUUCUGGGAACUUAUUCCUAGAUUACUAGAAAAUCCCUGUUGGGUGAGCUUAUUUGGUCUUCAAGAAGUUGCCAUAUAAUAAACGCCAAACUUUGCUGUGGACUCCCAGAGAAUCACCCUGAAAGAAUCACAUAUUUUAAGUUCUUGAUAAGUUUAGAUAGCAAGAGUUAAGUAUGUUUUCAUUAGUAAAGUCUAUAUUUAGUUAUAUUGCAACCUGUAAACAAUUUCAAGCUGGUCUCAGUUGAAUUUGUUCCUUUAUUCAGAUUCUUGCUUCUGUUCUAGACUGCUGGAUGAACUUCCCUAUGUAAUUGAAUAUGAGGAAGAGGGGGAACCUUUGAAAAGGGGGUGUAUCUUACUCUGGAAGUACAAUUACAAUGAGAUUUAACCAUUGUAAACCUUACCGAGCCGGAAAUAUAGAAUCUCCUCCCAAGAGCCUCACAUGAAUACUAAAGAUAGCUAUUUAAAUCCUAGUACAACUCAUCUACACAUACAGUUGAACUUAACCAAAAGGCCAAGAAGAGUUGGCUUAUCCUAUUCCAAUAUAUAAGGUAGUUCUUGGUUAAUGAUGGCUACUGGGACCAGAAUUUCCAUUGCUAAGAGAUGCAGUCAUAAAGCAUUAUAUCACAUGAAAUAUAAAUCACUUAGCAACAGCAGUUCCAGAGUUCUGGUUGGCAUUGUUAAACAUGACAUCAAGAGUCACCAUUGUUGAACUCCUGCCCACUGCCACAUUGACUUUGCUUGAAGGAAGCUGGCAGUGAAGGUCACAGAUGAGGAUCCUUUGAGUGCAAAAUGCUGAAACUUCAUAAUCGCUAGCCUGUCCUUUACUAUAUGACCAUAGUAAGUUAGAACAGUUGCUGAACAAGUAAGUGUUAAGCAAAGCGUGCCUGUAGUUACAUGUUUAUGAGAAACCAUAAUCGGUACUCAGCAACAGAAUUAUUCUUGGAGGCUCAAGCUAGCUCUCCUACUCCUGUUGUAUUAAUGCUUUCCUUUCUAUCCCUAAUGAAGUAACAUUGAGUAAUUCAGAAACUAUGGGGAAACUGUGUCUUACCUUUUCCUUCUAUAAGAUAUAACACAUCUUUUUGGACAGAAUUAUUUGCCUGACAUGAAUAAUGUCACUCUCGUUGCUAUAUGGAAGGAGGAUAUCACUGCCAAAGGAUUUGCUGCUUCAUGAGCUACAGGCAAAGUACAUUAUUUUAAGGGCUUAAAUACUUUAAGCCAUUACAGACCUCAUUUCCAAAUCAUAGUUACUUCACUGAAAUACAGGGAGGCACACAUGAUUUAAAAACAAGGUUGAACCUGAAAAAUUAACUGUUGCUACUCUGAAAAAUAUCCAGAUGCAAACAUUUUCUUCUCAACAGAGACCCAGAUUUUUAGGGUAUAAUUGUAACAACUGUUGUAAGGAAACUGGCUAACAACAGGUGAUGUACUGGCUGUGAAGUACAGGCCUCUACUCCCACUUUAGCAGAGGACCAAGAAAAAAGAAUGGAAUUUCACAGCAAAAAAGUGAUGCCUGCAGGAUCAAAAUUUGCAAGAUGAUAGUAGUGUCAUGAUUAAAGCUUCAUCCUUUGGGGACAUGCAUGCAGCACUUGUGAAAAAGGGGGUGGUUUUGUGACUGUUGUCUAUGGAGAUUCUCAGUCAUCCAGGUCAUAGUUAUCCCAAAGAGGCUUUUCUGUGAGGCAACUGGACUUUCUUGUUUUUCUCUGAAGACUCAGAGCUGAAGAAGCUUCUUGGAUGAGAAGUGAAACAUCUUCAAAGAAAAACAAGUCCAGUUGCCUUGCGAAAAAGCAUCUUUGGGAUAACUUUGUGACUGCUGUCUUGCAGAGUUUGAUGUCUCCCGUAGGAGUUCAUGAAGGGUAUUUCAGCCUUUUGUUUUAAUGGAAAAACUGAAGUGAGGGGGGAGGAGAAAGAAUAGGAAAUAUUUACUUUUUUAAAAAAAAAUGCAGGGCAGUCCUAUUUAACAACCCUAACUGGGAUCAGAAUUUCCAUUGCUAAGUAAAGCAAUUGUUAGAUGAAAUAUCAUGUGACCACACAGCUUAGUGAUGGUAGUACCAGAAGGCUGGGACUUCACAUUUCUCUUGCCCUGCCAUGUUACCUUCCACUUCAACAUCCCACAUCCAUCUAUCUCCACUCGUCUAUGUUUUAUACCCUGCUGCUCCUACCUAUUCCUGUUGCGCCUCUACCCCCAGCUAACUUUUGCUGUCUUCUUCUUCCACGGUUGACAAGGGGUGCCCAGCUGGGGACAACUGCUGCCCCUUAGCAAGACCCUUGUGAGUCCUCCCUGAAUCCCCAUGAGGCAUCUGUGCAGGGUAUCCAUAAGGCUUCGCAGAGGCCUUAUGAAGUUUUGGGGAAGGCCUCAUGAGCUGAGCAGCAGCAGGAGAAAGAAGACUGUGAAGGUCAGCUGGUAGCAGCAGAGGGUUGAAGGGGUAGACAGUGGUGGUGGAGUGCAGGGUCUCCAAAAGGCAGAGAAGGGGGAAGAUAGGUGGAUGAGGGGAGUUAAAAUAUAUGCAGCGGUCUUAAAUACAGAUGAUAUGCCAAGUGCCCAAUUUUAUAUUAUGUGACCACAAGAGCAUUGCAACAGCUAUAACUACAAGGACUGGCUAUACACUAUAGCCUCCAUUUGUUCAACAGCAUCAUAAAUGUAAAUAGUUACUGAAUAAAUGGUUGUUAACUGUACAAUGUAGUGUAUAUAGACAGUUAGGCUUCAACUUAUGACCACUCAUUCACUGACCAUUCAAAAUUAUGAAUAGUGCCGACCAAGUGGGAUUUAAAACUGGUUGUGAAGUUGCAACUGUCAUGGUGAGCUGAGGUUACAUGAUUAUCAUUUGUGACCUUCCUGGUCACCUUCCCACAAAGACAAUAGAGAAGCUAGAGAAAGUCACAAGUCACUCCCAUAAGUUGUUCCUGCUGCUUUUUCUCCUAAGAACCCAGAAUGGAAUGAUCUUGUACUCUUUAGCACCCUCCAUCUGCCCAACAGGAAAUGAAACUUAGACAAGGCUUCAUUGGGCAAAAUAUGCUUUCAAUUUUCGAUUAUUUUCUUCUUUUUUGUUAAAAAUAAUGUAUUUUCAUUUAAAAAUAGUGCUUUCUGUAUCUAAUUGAUUCACUUGAGGACAAAAUCUAAAAUUAAUAAUAUUGAAGGUUAAUGGUUCCUUCCUUCCUUCCUUCCUUCCUUCCUUCCUUCCUUCCUUCCUUCCUUCCUUCCUUCCUUCCUUCCUUCCUUCCUUCCUCUUUCUUUCUUUCUUUCUUUCUUUCUUUCUUUCUUUCUUUUAGUUCUCAUUAGGAAUUACCUCAUUUAGCAAUUGUUCAUGAUGAGAAAUUGUGAUGAAAAUAAGUUUAAUGACCUCUGGUGCUGGUCUCCAAUGCGGUCCCUAGACAAUAGUUACUAUAUUGCUUCAAAAUUUCUCCAGCAAUAAUGCCUAUAAUGGUGGUAUAUGGGUGUAUACAAACUCUUUUAUGAUUGCAUCCAAACCAUAUCCCUCUUUUAUAUUCAAAAUGUUUCAAGCUUAAAGUUGCUGAGGUACUCUGAGCUCAAAAUGGGGUGAUCAACUUCACCAGAAGAGGUCUGAUAACACAAUAUUAGCAUCUUUAGUACAGAUUAAAAAGUAAUGGUCAAGGAAGAGCGAAGAGUAAGACCAUCCUUCCUGGCAGUGGCUAAAAGCUUAAACCAGCAAAUAAAUCUUGAAUUCAGUACUUUUUAUUCUGCUAAAACCUCAUUCCUGGAAUUCCCCAUUGAUAGUAGGAUAUCUCUGCUGCAUACUGAUCCCUAAAAAUAGCACUUUGAAUUGUUAGUACUGCUUCAUUAUUUCCUUGAUAACAGUUUGUUUGGGAUUUCAGCCAAAGGCUGUAAUUAGAAAGAAAAUAAAUCGUGUUUCCUAGAUCUAUGCUUUGCUAAGCUAAACUUUUAGCAUAUGUGGACUGCAUUAAAUGUUUACUUACAUGCAAUAUAAAUAUAUGCCAGAUAAUUUUAUCCUCUAUUGCAUGCUUGUUGCUUGCAUUUGAGACAAUCAGGUAGAAAUACAAUAAAGGUUUUGAGGAAAGGGCAAGCAAUAAACCUUUAUGAUAAUAUUUUGGCUGAUGCUGAUCUGUUUCCAGAAAUUGAAGUUAUUUCUGACAAUGCCAUCUUGAUCUCAUAUUCAUAGCAGAUAUUCUGUCUGCUCAUAAUGAACUGGCCAGCCUCAAACCCUAUUCUUCUAUUCUAGAGCCAGCCAUUAUUCUUCAGAGGGCUUUUGUUCUCACAUGUUCUUCACAGACCCAACUUUCUUAUUAUUGCUGAUCACCUCUAUCUCAGACAUGGCCUCAAUUCUGCUAGAAUAGAGGUCCCUGACCUUUUGGGCACCAGGGACCGGUUCCAUGGAAAGAGGUUUUUCUGUGGACCAGAGGGGGUAUGGUUUUGUGUGCUGCCUGCAUCCUGCAGAUGGGGCUUUGUUUGCUUGUGUGGACUGGUUGCUGGCAGGCCGUGGCCUGGUACUGGUCCACAGACUGGGAGUUGGGGACCCCUGUGCUAGAAAAGGUAAAAUGACUGUUAAAAGUAUUUUCUAGGUUGACAUAUAUUAGUAAGAAAAAAUGCUUUAGUACACAGAAACAAGUGAGCCCUAUAAUGUCCAUGUUUAGGAGAGUAUACACAUAUUUAUACACGUUAUUAGUAGGUGACUAAAGAGGAAGAGAUCAAUAAUAUUUAAAAGAAAAAAAAUAGCGUUUUUGCUCUUUGAUACUUAUGAAGAUACUGGGCCUUGUAUCACCCUGACAGAAGAAUUAUAAGACUCUAGAUAUACUACUGGGAAAUCUCUUUUUACUCUUCAGACAAAUUUCAGUGGGUAAUCUCCCAGUGUACAUUGAAAUUAUGCUUGUAACACCAUGCAGUGUCAAGUGAAAGAAUAUGGAGAUCCACACAUAUGACAUAGCGUUAAUCUUUUUGCUUCCCUUAAAAUUAAUUCAGUCUUUGCCUGAGCAUGAAACUCCACUUAUACCUUGUCAUUAUUCAAGUCAGCAUAAAACACAUCCACAUUAGCACUGUGGCACCCAGUGACUAUUCUGACACAUAGAUUGCUAUGAUCUAUCUAUUUCAGCAGUCAUUUGCUAGCUAUGCCAAACAAACUAUUGUUGUCCAUAUUGCCAAUCACAAAAUACCUAUGCUGCCAUUUUGUGUGGCAUUUGAGCAUGUAGGGGUCCUGAAUCUGGUUUAAAAAUAACACCCAUUUGGAAAAGAUUGGAAGAGUUCUCUGGGAUUUUUGAAGUUCUGGGGAUGAGUAUAUACCAUUUUUCCAUGAAGUGAUGACCUCCAUUACUUGAUACUGUUUCUUUCACGUGAAGGAGUUGGUACCUUUGAAGUCAUUUAAGAAACAUAAUGGAUACAUCUUUCCAUCAUUCAAAGACAUCUGCAGAGAGAGAGAAGAUUUUUGCAAGCUGAUGAUCACUGGCAACAAACUAUAGAAGACACCAAAAAAACAAGAAUACCCAGAGCAAUGAAAGAUUUGUUUGUUGUCUUGCUAACCAACACUGAAAUCAAUGACCCACAGCAAUUGUGGAACCAGUUCAAGAAUGCAAUGUCUGAAGAUUUCCUCCAAAUUGAGAGAAUAUCAGUGAUCUAAUAUCAUGAUCAAUAAGAGCUUAUCAUGAACAAGCUCUCCUAAAUUUUCAAGAAAAACUUGAGAAAUUCAGAAAAAAACACUAAGAAUAUAACUUGCCAAAACCAACAAGUGCAAUUAAUCAACAUGGUGGCAAUCAGGAAUUAUUGCAUAAGCAGUAAUACAACAGAAACAAACAUCAGAAAUUUAGAGUACACAACCACCCUUUAUUGAAUAAUGAGCAAAGCACAUUAAAUCAUUAUUUAUAUAAGUGCUUGCAAAGCAAUCUUUUUUCAGACAUUUUUAAUGAUGAACAAGGAAGAAUGGGAAAUACAUUUGUACCAACUUGAUCUUGGCUAAAGUUAGGGGAGGUGGAGAUGUUGCUAUUGCGGUGAUCUGGUAUUACAACAACAUUGAUGCCUUGUGGUAGAAGAGUGCAUUCAAGAUUCAAGAUACUUCUCAAAGUAAAUGAAAAUGUUGUUUGUAAUAAUGAAAUAAACCCAAUACUGCAAAUGUGUUUCAAUGUGUAAAGGUUUAUUGUCUGGGAUGAGAAUCCAUUAUUAGAAGACAGAGCUUUGAAGUCAUACACCAUUCUUCUUGUGAUGUAUGUGGCAAGAAUGAGGCCUUGGGCGGAAUAUUAACCAUUUGCUAUGUGAUUUCCAUCAGCUUCUACUAGCUGUGAAAAUAUGAAAUUAUGCAAAUGUGGAUAAUUCAUGCAUCAAAAAAAUCAUACUUAUUGAGAAGCUUUUUCAAGUUUUAGUUGAAGAGAAACAUGUAAUGACUGAGGGAAAAAAGAUAUUCUGGAUUCUUAUUGAAUGUUGGAAUUCAGAAAAAUCAAAAUGAUAAAAAAAGAAUUGCCAGAAGAUACUGUUCUGACAGCAAGAUCUAUGGAAGAACGUAUAGAUUUCAAUUACCUAACAUCUAACAAUUCUGUCAAAGCGUUCUCCGAGAAUUCUAUCUUGGUUCCCCUCAAUGAAAUGAUGAGAAAAAUGAUUUCUACCUGCAUUAGAAGCUUCCCUGGAAAGAUGAAAUAACAUUAUUUCUUCAUCUCUGUCAGUGAAAGAGCCAACACUACUCAUUGAACUUGAAUCUUCCAAGGCUUUGCUGUGGAAUGUGGAUGAUUAGCGAAGAACUCCAAAAAAAUCUCCUUGAACAAACAUAAACAUUGGGGUAUUCAAAACUGGCACUGGCAUGAUUCCAAAAAAUGCACUCAAUUUAUUAGGAGGUGAAAAUGUCCCACUUCAGUGGAUACAGUUCCCAAUACUGUCAUACUUUGCUCUCACUAUACAUGAAAUACAGGAACAAGCCAUGGAGAACGUGCUGAUUUAUUCAGAGAAAUCAGCAUUCCAGUAUGAUCAGCUGUAUGUUGCUUUUAGCCAAAGAAAAGAAAAACAUUAGAGUAUUCUUAAAGAAGGACAUAUCAACCAGAAGUGAUAAUCAAAAAUGUCCUUUGUUAAACAAAAAGAAUCUAUAUUUGUCUUGCUACGAAUCCUUCUUCUUUAAUAAAGUCAUGUGUUUUUUUUUUAAUUUUAAAACCAAAACAAUAGCAAUCCACUUGUAGACAUUGUGUUUCUCUGUUUAGGUAAAGAAAUAUCACUAGGGUGACCCAAUGGAUCAUGAGUUGUACAAUAUGUAAGUAAAAUCUUCAGAACUCAGCUGAUAUCAGGAAAUAAUAUGGUUGAAUGAGUGGAUAGAUUUUAAACAGUAGUCUUUGGAAUCCUGCUGAGUAUUUCUCAGCUCAUCUGUGAAGGGGUUGAUUGAGGAGGCACAAAAGUAUGGUUGAUUGAGUACUUGAAUGAAUGAAUUCCAGGAACAUGGGUAAUGAAACAGUGAAGACUUGCCGAAGUAGAAGAGAGGAAGGGAAGUAUUGCACAAAAAUUGUCUUCAAAAUCAAGGAAAUACUGUUUAUUAUGCCACAAAUGCAGUAGCUUUUAGGGAGGAAAAAAAACACAAUCAGGUGUUUUGGGCAUGGAAAGAAAUGAAGGAGAAAAGACAAAUGGUUAUUGGCUGGAUGAUAUGAGAAUCAUCCAGAAGACCAAUAAUCAUGAUGUAAUGUUGAUAUGUAACAUUUAUCAUAGAAAGAUCUAACAUUUCAUUCAUUCUUAUGGAGCCUACUUCUGGGUAGAUGUAUGUUUCUAUUUCUUAUUGUUCCAAACUAUUUUUAAUACUGUACACUACCCAAAUUGUUAGGGAAUUGGGUGGCCUUACAAAUUUGACAACUUCUUAGCUUUGUGUAACCUACUAAACCCAGUAUUCCUCUUAAGAAUUUUCAGCUACAGUUGACCUGGUUGGCUAUCUUUGCUAUUUUGCAUUUUAGCCCAUUUUAAAGAUUUUUUUAUUUAUACAUUGGUUUAGAGAUUUCUAUUGUUUUGGCAUUAUGCUUUGUUUCCUAUGUUGUGCAUUGUCCAGCGUCUUUUAAGAUCAGAGUGGCUUAUAAAUCCUGAAAAAUAAGAAAAAAUAUUAUUUAUGAUCUUAUUUUUUGAUAGUUGCAUCAAAAAUGAUGCAAAACUCACAAUGUAGUUUUUAUGUAUGUUGUUUAUUGCUUAUAUUGUUUUACAGAUCUCUUACAUAUUGAAAAAAACUUCUGAUGUUUCAUGUUUUACUGUAAAUCACCAUCUUUUAUGUGCUGUAUUUCACUAGAUCAGGACUGUGCAGGUAUAAAUAUGAUAAUGAACAAACAAAAAUGUAGUUUGCAGAGUUAUUUGAACUUAUCUAUACUGCUUUACCUUUUUUAAAAAAAAUGACAAGUGCUUAUUUUGAUGGAGAAUGACCACACUAAACACUGGAGAUGCUUGUAAAUCACAGUUGUUGGGGAAAGGAAGCAAAUUUGAGGAGAGGGAUAUUUGUGCUUCUUUUCCUAAAUAUUGGGACAGAGUUUUGUCAGCUUUUGUUUGUGUGUGCUUGGAUUUACAGCCUGAUAUGGUUUGUGUUUGUGUUUGUUUGUGUUUGUCUUUGUUUGUGUUUGGUAUGGUGUGGUGUGGUGUGAUGUGGUAUGGGUAUGGAUAUGGGUAUGGGUUUGGGUUUGGUUUGGGUUUGAGUUUGGUGGAUUAGAUCUGAUUGGAUUGGAUUUACAUAGUCCCCCAUUUCUUAUAAAUGACUCUAUAUCAGAAAUGUCAAACUCGUGACAUCACAUGACAUCGCGCAACGUAUCGGGACGCUUUUGCCAUUGCCAGCAAUGGUGUGGGCACAGCUUCUGGAUGACACAUCCAGCCCGCAGGCUGGCAGUUUGAUACCCCCACACUAUAUGGUCAGAGAAAUUGCUUUUCCACCCUAUUUUAAGCUCUCACAUUGCAGUUUAUUCAUAUAAAUAUGUAUGUGUUAAUUAUUAUUGAUUGGUUUUUAUGUUGGCUGCUGUAUGUUAUUUAUUAUUUUGUUGUAAUAUUUUAAUCUUGUUUUUAUUCAUAGUUAGCCAUAGGGAGUUAUGCAUUUGAGAUAGGUGGCCCUAUAGAUUGAAUGAAUAAAUAAAUAAUACCAUCAAUAAACAAGUGAUCACAGGUGAAUAAGAAAAAAGAAGCUGCUGCUGCAAAGUUUUUAUAACUAGGGAGAGCACAAGAAAGACUGGAACAGAGAAUGAAAAGAGACAUAAUUAGCAAAGAAUGAAUAUUAAACUUAUAUCUUCAUCACUAGAGUACCGUAUUUUCCGGUGUAUAAGACGACUUGGCAUAUAAGACGACCCCCGACUUCAGAGACAAUUUGCAUGGUUAGAAAGUCGUCUUAUACACUGGAAACUACCGUACUUUCCGGCG